ensembl:rRNA 5S_rRNA 5S ribosomal RNA
ACUUUUUAUCAUAUCACCUUGCAGCCCAAGACCAGUUACUCACUGAAGCUAAGCAGGGCUGAGCCUGGUCAGUACAUGGAUGGGAGACAACAUGGGAAAACUAGGUUGCUGUUGGGAGUG